CUACCUACCUGGCAGGGGAGAUACCAUGAUCAAGAAGGCGGUUCACCCAGGGCGAGGCUCAGCCAUUGCACUUUGGCUGUGCUGACCCCUGCAAAUUCCCCAAAUGUGGGAAUCUCGACUGCAAAUUUUCUGGUAGUUGGGGACUGCGUUCACUCUCCCCUGAU
ensembl:snRNA U1 U1 spliceosomal RNA